rnacentral:rRNA from 1 species
GACGAACGCUGGCGGCGUGCCUAAUACAUGCAAGUCGAGCGAAUGGAAGGGAGCUUGCUCCCUGAAGUUAGCGGCGGACGGGUGAGUAACACGUGGGCAACCUGCCUGUAAGACUGGGAUAACUUCGGGAAACCGGAGCUAAUACCGGAUACGUUCUUUUCUCGCAUGAGGAAAGAUGGAAAGAUGGUUUCGGCAUCACUAAUGGAUGAGCCUGCGGCGCAUUAGCUAGUUGGAGAGGUAAGAGCUCCCCAAGGCGACGAUGCGUAGCCGACCUGAGAGGGGGAACGGCCACACUGGGACUGAGACACGGCCCAGACUCCUACGGGAGGCAGCAGUAGGGAAUCUUCGGCAAUGGACGAAAGGCUGACCGAGCAACGCCGCGUGAAUGAAGAAGGCCUUCGGGUUGUAAAAUUCUGUUAUAAGGGAAGAAAGACACGAGUAGGAAAUGGCUCGUGAGUGACGGUACCUUAUGAGAAAGCCACGGCUAACUACGUGCCAGCCGCCGCCGUAA